GAAACCUGGUUGAUCCUGCCAGUAGUCAUAUGCUUGUUUCAAGGACUAAGCCAUGCAUGCCUCAGAAUCACUGCACUUGCAGGAAUCUGCGCAUGGCUCAUUACAUCAGACGCAAUCUGCCGCAAACAUGUUGCGGUUCUCCGCAAGAUUGGAUACCUUGGCGAAACGCCAAGCUAAUACAUGAAUCUGAACGG
rnacentral:rRNA from 1 species